GGUUAAUGCCAUCUGCCUUCUGGGGCUUUGAGAGUUUGUGACAAAGUGGAUGUAGCGUGCCUUCUUGUGGCAGAGCAAGGCCUCCCGGAGCCGCUGCUGCUGUUCCUCCUGCAUCACUGUCCUCUAUCACUGCAGCCAUGGACGAGGCCUCUCGGUGGCAGGCUCUGGGGGGACUCUGGGCACCCAAAUGAAAAUGCCACAGUCCUCUUCUCGGUGGGCUUGCCUCCCUGGCCUUUCUCCUCACCGUAGAUCCCUCUUGCCUUCCCUGUUUUAGGAGCCAUAACAAAAGAGUCUGUGGGUGUCACCCGCCCGUCUGCCAGCCUGCAGGAUCAGGUAUCGGAGGCCUUCAGGACUCUCGUAGGCUGCCUUGGCAUCUCUGCACCACACUUAUGCCUGGCCCCCAUUCGGCAGGCAGAUCCAAUCCCUGGGAGGAUAAGGGUGUGUUCUGGAAGCUGGCAGUGCCCCCUGGUGAAGCCCUCAGAAGCCUGGGGCGAGAGCUGUCACCUCCCCCACAGAGAAAGCUGGAAUCGAUUCCUCUCUCACCACUCCCUUGGAAAGAACAGCAACACAAGGGAAGGCCUGUUAUUGGUGGAGGGUUUGUCCUGAGAGAGCAGCAGCUCACAAAGGCCUGCGAGCCACAGCUGUUUCCAUGCAGUAUUCCCACCAUCCCUC
rnacentral:lncRNA from 10 species